rnacentral:rRNA from 1 species
GACCGAGGAGGCAAGCGCUAUCCGGAAUUAUUGGGCGUAACGCGUCCGCAGGUGGCGAUUCAAGUCUGCUGUCAAAGGUCGGGGCUUAACCCCGGGAAGGCAGUGGGAACUGAAUAGCUAGAGUGCGGUAGGGGCAGAGGGAAUUCCCGGUGUAGCGGUGAAAUGCGUAGAGAUCGGGAAGAACACCAGUGGCGAAAGCGCUCUGCUGGGCCUGCACUGACACUGAGGGACGAAAGCUAGGGGAGCGAAAGGG